AGAGUUUGAUCAUGGCUCAGAACGAACGCUGGCGGCGCGUCUUAAGCAUGCAAGUCGGACGGCAAGGGCAGCAAUGCCCCUAGAGUGGCGGACUGGUGAGUAACACGUGGGUGACCUACCCUUGAGAUGGGGAUAGCCAUUAGAAAUAGUGGAUAAUACCGAAUACGAUCGCUGUCCCUGUGGGGAUGCGAUGAAAGGAGCUACGGCUCCACUCGAGGAUGGGCCCGCGUCCCAUUAGCUAGUUGGUGAGGUAAAGGCCCACCAAGGCGACGAUGGGUAUCCGGCCUGAGAGGGUGUACGGACACAUUGGGACUGAGAUACGGCCUAAACUCCUACGGGAGGCAGCAGCUAAGAAUAUUCCGCAAUGGACGAAAGUCUGACGGAGCGACGCCGCGUGGAUGAAGAAGGCCGAAAGGUUGUAAAAUCCUUUUGCCGGUGAAGAAUAAGUAUGGUAGGGAAUGACCGUAUGAUGACAUUAGUCGGUGAAUAAGCCCCGGCUAACUACGUGCCAGCAGCCGCGGUAACACGUAGGGGGCAAGCGUUGUUCGGAAUUAUUGGGCGUAAAGGGCAUGUAGGCGGUUUUGUAAGCCUGGUGUGAAAUCCUGCAGCUUAACUGUAGAAUUGCAUUGGGUACUGCAAGACUUGAAUCACAGAGGGGAAACUAGAAUUCCAGGUGUAGGGGUGGAAUCUGUAGAUAUCUGGAAGAAUACCGGUGGCGAAGGCGGGUUUCUAGCUGAUGAUUGACGCUGAGGUGCGAAAGUGCGGGGAGCAAACAGGAUUAGAUACCCUAGUAGUCC
rnacentral:rRNA from 1 species